rnacentral:rRNA from 1 species
UGGGGAAUAUUGGACAAUGGGGGAAACCCUGAUCCAGCAAUGCCGCGUGAGUGAUGAAGGCCUUAGGGUUGUAAAGCUCUUUCGGGUGGGACGAUGAUGACGGUACCACCAGAAGAAGCCCCGGCUAACUUCGUGCCAGCAGCCGCGGUAAUACGAAGGGGGCUAGCGUUGUUCGGAAUUACUGGGCGUAAAGCGCACGCAGGCGGUCCGUUAAAUAAGGAGUGAAAGCCCUGGGCUCAACCCGGGAAUUGCUCUUUAGACUGGCGGACUUGAAUCCGGAAGAGGGCAGUGGAAUUCCAAGUGUAGAGGUGAAAUUCGUAGAUAUUUGGAAGAACACCAGUGGCGAAGGCGACUGCCUGGUCCGGCAUUGACGCUCAUGUGCGAAAGCGUGGGGAGCAAACA